AGGACAUGGACAGAAAUUGGAGACUCAUUUAAGUUCAUGCAAAUAAUUUCUUUUAAUUUCCCACAAAAUAAACCAUUAAAUCUGACUAGGAAGCACUUGUCUAAAUAGGAAUUCAAAGUUCCAUCCUCAAUUUACUAGAAACUAACAAACUCCUUAGGGAAAUCAAUGAAGCAAGUAAUAUCUCUAAGUGAAGAUUGAUUUCCAA
rnacentral:misc_RNA from 1 species